GGACCCAUGGCGCAACGGUAGCGCGUUCGACUCCAGCUAAACGCAAUCGAAAGGUUAUCCGUUCAAAUCGGGUUGGGUUCA
rnacentral:tRNA from 1 species